rnacentral:rRNA from 1 species
UACGUAGGGACCAAGCGUUGUUCGGAUUUACUGGGCGUAAAGGGCGCGUAGGCGGCUUAACAAGUCACUUGUGAAAUCUCCGGGCUUAACUCGGAACGGCCAAGUGAAACUGUCAAGCUAGAGUGCAGAAGGGGCAAUCGGAAUUCUUGGUGUAGCGGUGAAAUGCGUAGAUAUCGGGAGGAACAUCAGUGGCGAAGGCGACUUUCUGGAUCAAUACU